rnacentral:tRNA from 1 species
GUUGUAGCUCAGUUGGUUAGAGCGCCGGAUUGUGGUUCCGGAGGUCGUGGGUUCGAGACCCAUCAUC